rnacentral:rRNA from 1 species
CCAAUAGCGUAUAUUAAAGUUGUUGCAGUUAAAAAGCUCGUAGUUGAAUUUCGGGAUCGACGGGUCGGUCGCGCCUCUGGUGUGUACUGGCCCUGUCGGUUUCUCCCUUCUGACGAACCACGAUGUCAUUAAUUUGGUGUCGUGGGGAAUCAGGACUGUUACUUUGAAAAAAUUAGAGUGUUUAAAGCAAGCAUUCGCUUGAAUACAUUAGCAUGGAAUAAUGAAAUAGGACGUUUGAUCUUAUUUUGUUGGUUUCUAAGAUCGACGUAAUGAUUAAUAGGGAUAGUUGGGGGCAUUAGUAUUCAAUUGUCAGAGGUGAAAUUCUUGGAUUUAUUGAAGACUAACUACUGCGAAAGCAUUUGCCAAGGAUGUUUUCAUUAAUCAAGAACGAAAGUUAGGGGAUCGAAGACGAUCAGAUACCGUCGUAGUCUUAACCAUAAACUAUGCCGACUAGGGAUCGGAUGAUGUUAAUUUUUUAAUGACUCAUUCGGCGCCUUACG